AAACUUACCUGGCUGGGGCAUCCCUGCGAUCAACAAGGCAGGAGACUUUGUGGUGAGACUUCCCCAUUGCACUUAGGGGUGAGGUUGACCCGUAGGGCGGCUCCGAACUGGGGUAGGCCCACAGCUAAAUUUUUGAGUGUGGGGGACAGCGUUCGCGCUUCCCCCUU
rnacentral:snRNA from 1 species